GUGGUCACGGCCGAGGUGAGGAGGCUGGAGCGCACCCCGGUGCCGGCGCCGGCUCGGCUGGUGCAGCACGCGCCGAGGGCUCCCGUGGUGCUGACGGAGGCGAGGCGGCCGGACGUGGGGCGGCCGGAGGCCGCGUGCGUGGACGAGAGGGCGGACGACUUCAUCCACAAGUUCUGACAGCAGCUGCAGCUGCCGGCCGCGAGGAAGCCGGCGAGCAAGACGGGCAACGAGGCGGAGAAGGCGGCCAGGGCGAAGGUGGCGACCAAGAAGGCGGUCACGGUCGAGGUGAGGAUGCUGGAGCGCGCCCCGGUGCCGGCGCCGGCUCGGCUGGUGCAGCACGCGCCGAGCGCUCCCGCGGUGCUGACGGAGGUGUCUCUGCACGCUGGCCGCCGCAUCUCUGCCCGCUGGCCGCCGCCGCCGCAUCUCUGCCCGCUGGCCAGCCAUGUCUCCUUCCAAUCCGGGGAAGGAAUUCAGGGACCUGGUGCUCAGGAGCAGCGAGCUCGCCACGCUCGCCGCCAUCUUCCACUUCAGGGGCACCAAGCCGAGCUACCUUGGUGUGGAGAAGAGCUCAUGUACAAGUAUUUAUUAGGGAGAGAUUUGCUGAGAUAUCACAUAAAUUCCCACUUACAGAUCAAUCAAGUUGUGUUCUUCUGCCGUCUCAUGGAAGGGACUUCAUCUAAAGCUAUUGUAAUUCUUGCAACUGGAGACUGUCUUGGAGUUGCACUAGGUAAUGGUGAUAUGUCCUGGAAAGAUUUUCUUUCUCGUGCUGCUGGAAGAUUCUUUCUUUUGAUGAAAUACCCAGAUUGCAAAAGCAGAGGUGAUUUUGUGAUGUGACCUACAUGUCAGCUAAAUGUCUAGGAUUUGCAGGAGAGCCAAAAGCUAUACCAUGGACACAAUUUUCUCCCAUAAGAUGUGGAGCUGAUAACUGGGCGCAUUUCGAUGUUCGCCCAAAGGACAUUGGCCUGUGGCCUAAAAAUCUGGGUUGGGUUAUUGGACCUAUACAAUUAUUGUCAUGCUUUUUAAAUGAUAAAGGGCCUUCUUUAACUAAAUUGAUUAGAUAGAAAUAUAUAAUGCAAAGGGACACGAGUUUGACCCAGAGUAUGAUAAUGAUGCUGAGCAAACCCUCACAGAGAUGGAAUUUAAAGAAACUAUUUUGGAAAGUCAACUCAAGGUACGUGCAUUGUUGGAUUUAAUUGUCAAUGUUUGUAAACAACAAUGAUGAAAUAGUUUGUUUGUAGAAAAUGAAUAUUUUGCAGUAACAUACAUUUAUUUUACGCCUCUAUUUUUUAGAGGAUCAUCAUGGAAGCACCUUAUUUUUUGCUCCUAUUAAGUAAUAUUAGGAUGAAAGGGGAUCCAUGUUCCUAUUAAGUAAUAUUAAGCAUAGCUCGAAUGACAAAUUUUUACUGCAGACUUUCUAUUACGUUGGACAAAUUUUUGCUCAAUUUUUCUGAAUCUUCACCUCGGAUCUCUGUCCUUUAAGAUUAGCUUAAAUGACAAAUUAGCUGCAACCUUUCUCUGUAAGUUCAGAACUGGAUAUAAUAAAUGGUGUGUGAUGGCACUGGGGUAGGUUCUGCCCGUUGCAACGCACGGGCAUUUGUACUAGUAGCUAUAAAAUUAAAUAG